rnacentral:rRNA from 1 species
GAUGAACGCUGGCGGCGUGCCUAAUACAUGCAAGUCGAGCGAACGGACGAGAAGCUUGCUUCUCUGAUGUUAGCGGCGGACGGGUGUGUAACACGUGGAUAACCUCCCUAUAAGACUGGGAUAACUUCGGGAAACCGGAGCUAAUACCGGAUAAUAUUUUGAACCGCAGGGUUCAUAAGUGAAAGACGGUCUUUCUGUAACUUAUCGCUGGAUCCGCGCUGCAUUAGCUAGUUGGUAAGGUAAAGGCUUACCAAGGCAACGAUGCAUGUCCGACCUGAGAGGGUGAUCGGCCACACUGGAACUGAGACACGGUCCAGGCUCCUACGGGAGGCAGCAGUAGGGAAUCUUACGCAAUGGGCGAAAGCCUGACGGAGCAACGCCGCGUGAGUGAUGAAGGUCUUCGGAUCGUAAAACUCUGUUAUUAGGGAAGAACAUAUGUGUAAGUAACUGUGCACAUCUUGACGGUACCUAAUCAGAAAGCCACGGCUAACUACGUG